rnacentral:rRNA from 1 species
UGGGGAAUAUUGGACAAUGGGCGAAAGCCUGAUCCAGCAAUGCCGCGUGAGUGAUGAAGGCCUUAGGGUUGUAAAGCUCUUUUUACCCGGGAUGAUAAUGACAGUACCGGGAGAAUAAGCUCCGGCUAACUCCGUGCCAGCAGCCGCGGUAAUACGGAGGGAGCUAGCGUUGUUCGGAAUUACUGGGCGUAAAGCGCACGUAGGCGGCUUUGUAAGUUAGAGGUGAAAAGCCUGGAGCUCAACUCCAGAAUUGCCUUUUAAGACUGCAUCGCUCGAAUCCAGGAGAGGUGAGUGGAAUUCCGAGUGUAGAGGUGAAAUUCGUAGAUAUUCGGAAGAACACCAGUGGCGAAGGCGGCUCACUGGACUGGUAUUGACGCUGAGGUGCGAAAGCGUGGGGAGCAAAACAGGAUUAGAUACCCUGGUAGUCCACGCCGUAAAACGAUGAUAACUAGCUGUCCGGGGACUUGGUCUUUGGGUGGCGCAGCUAACGCAUUAAGUUAUCGCCUGGGGAGUACGGCCGCAAGGUU